rnacentral:rRNA from 1 species
GUAACCUACCCUGUACACACGGAUAACAUACCGAAAGGUAUGCUAAUACGGGAUAACAUACUUGAGAGGCAUCUCUUAAAUAUCAAAGGUGAGCCAGUACAGGAUGGACCCGCGUCUGAUUAGCUAGUUGGUAAGGUAACGGCUUACCAAGGCGACGAACAGUAGCCGACCUGAGAGGGUGAUCGGCCACAUUGGAACUGAGCCACGGUGCAAACUCCUACGGGAUGCAGCAG